UACAGAGGUGGCAAGCGUUGUUCGGAAUUACUGGGCGUAAAGGGCGCGUAGGCGGCCUUCUAAGUCAGACGUGAAAUCCCCCGGCUUAACCUGGGAACUGCGUCUGAUACUGGGAGGCUUGAGUAUGGGAGAGGGAUGUAGAAUUCCAGGUGUAGCGGUGAAAUGCGUAGAUAUCUGGAGGAAUACCGGUGGCGAAGGCGGCAUCCUGGACCAUAACUGACGCUGGGGCGCGAAAGCUAAGGGGAGCAAAGCGGG
rnacentral:rRNA from 1 species